CGCUGCUCUGUGCCCCAGAGACUGACGCACGGGACGGUGUCCUUGCUUCCAACUCUUUACUGUGUUGAAGCCUGUGAGUCUUCUUGGUGAGUAUCUAUUGACAGGCUAUCGACCAGCGUCAGUGUUCCAGAGAAGAAGAAUCAAGGUGAUGCAUAUAUACCUAUGGCAUAUGGUGUUAGCUCACCACGACGUGCAGGCUGGUAUGUCCCGUGAUCUGCAGGAGACGCGGGGAAGCUAGUGGCGAUGCUAAAGCUCUGAGAGCCAGAGAGCGGCUGGUACAGAUCUCAGUCAAGCAGUCAGGCAGAGUUAAUUCAAAUGUCCUCAUUGAUUUUGUUCUAUUCAGGCGCUCAGCUGGUCCAGUGAUGGCCACAAACACUGGGGAGGACCAUUGGCUCUACUCUGUCCAUUAACUCAGUUUCUGAUGCAGCUUCCAACUGGCUCCAGCUCAGAAAGUCUGUCCCUGGUGUCUGCUCCCCACCCUCCUGGUACGUGAUUGGUUUCUGACUCAUUGUACUCGGGCUCAGAUUUUGUAGUGGGAGUCACGACCCUUCAUUCAUUCCAUAUUGUUCUCUCACCUUUCUUCAGUCGGUCUCAAUAGGGAGUCUCCCCCCAGGGACCUGGGUCUCUGAGCACCUACAGAACCGAGAUUUGGUACUGUAUGGAACACAAUGUCCCACUUCACCAGACUACACCUUCUUUCGGAGAACCUCAGAUGGUGGGAGUCCUGUCCCCAAGCCUGGCUGGCCUCAGCCCUAGGGAGCUGGGAUGUACUGCUUUCGAUGCACAUGGAAGUGGUGGGGGUGGAACUCUGUUAGUCACAGUUCCUGGAAGGCUUCAUGGAGGUGUCCUGAGAGGCGUCAGAGUGUAAAGAAGUAAGGAGUCCUGUCCCAGGCGAAGCUGCAGAAGUCGGGCCCAGGAUUGGCAAAGCCCUUGUAGACCCUCCCUCA